rnacentral:rRNA from 1 species
GACGAGCGCUGGCGGCGUGCUUAACACAUGCAAGUCGAACGCUGAAGCACCAGCUUGCUGGUGUGGAUGAGUGGCGAACGGGUGAGUAAUACGUGAGUAACCUGCCCUUGACUCUGGGAUAAGCCCGGGAAACUGGGUCUAAUACUGGAUGCUACAUGUCACCGCAUGGUGGUGUGUGGAAAGGGUGUACUGGUCUUGGAUGGGCUCACGGCCUAUCAGCUUGUUGGUGGGGGAAUGGCUCACCAAAGCGCCGACGGGUAGCCGGGCUGAGGAGGUGACCGGCCAACCUGGGACCGAAACACGGCCCAGACUCCUAAGGGAGGCAGGAGGGGGGAAUAAUGCACAAUGGGCGAAAGCCUGAUGCAGCGACGCCGCGUGAGGGAUGACGGCCUUCGGGUUGUAAACCUCUUUCAGCAGGGAAGAAGCCACAAGUGACGGUACCUGCAGAAGAAGCGCCGGCUAACUACGUGCCAGCCGCCGCAGUAA